AAGUAGGUUAAUUCCCUCUCCGAGGGGCCUAAUAGCGCCCCUCUUUAGGAAAGUAGCAACUUGGAGUAAAUCUGGUAUGUCUCAGGUUUCCUGGGAGAAGGUGAUACGUAAUUUCCUUUGCCUUCCUUUGGCGGCCUACAUGU